CCCGGCCUCCUCUCUCCCUUGAGUAAUCAUGUUUAUAGUAGGGGGAAACUAAAGACAACCUAAUGCGCAAACUUGGGAAGUAGAUCUGUGAAAAUGAGAAUAUGUUUGAAGCUCAGCCAAGAGCCAACCAGAGCAAUAGUUGACCCAUAUAUCCAAAUAGCAUUCAGUAUGAAGAUCUUCUCUAAGGAAGGUUCACUAUGAAGUUCCCCAGAAUUCACAAUUUCAAGCCCUCCUAUUUAGAACCUGAUGUUAUUGUUAUGGGAUAUGCACUGAACACUGAUAAUGAAGUUGGCGCUGACUGGAACAAAA